ACUCCUACGGGAGGCAGCAGUGGGGAAUAUUGCACAAUGGGCGCAAGCCUGAUGCAGCCAUGCCGCGUGUAUGAAGAAGGCCUUCGGGUUGUAAAGUACUUUCAGCAGUGAGGAAGGCGGGUACGUUAAUAGCGUGCUCGUUUGACGUUAGCUGCAGAAGAAGCACCGGCUAACUCCGUGCCAGCAGCCGCGGUAAUACGGAGGAUCCAAGCGUUAUCCGGAAUCAUUGGGUUUAAAGGGUCCGUAGGCGGUUUUAUAAGUCAGUGGUGAAAUCCGGCAGCUCAACUGUCGAACUGCCAUUGAUACUGUAGAACUUGAAUUAUUGUGAAGUAACUAGAAUAUGUAGUGUAGCGGUGAAAUGCUUAGAGAUUACAUGGAAUACCAAUUGCGAAGGCAGGUUACUAACAAUAUAUUGACGCUGAUGGACGAAAGCGUGGGUAGCGAACAGGAUUAGAUACCCUGGUAGGAUAGCGU
rnacentral:rRNA from 1 species